rnacentral:rRNA from 1 species
UAGGGAAUCUUCGGCAAUGGGGGCAACCCUGACCGGGCAACGCCGCGUGAGUGAAGAAGGUUUUCGGAUCGUAAAGCUCUGUUGUAAGAGAAGAACGUGUGUGAGAGUGGAAAGUUCACACAGUGACGGUAACUUACCAGAAAGGGACGGCUAACUACGUGCCAGCAGCCGCGGUAAUACGUAGGUCCCGAGCGUUGUCCGGAUUUAUUGGGCGUAAAGCGAGCGCAGGCGGUUUAAUAAGUCUGAAGUUAAAGGCAGUGGCUUAACCAUUGUUCGCUUUGGAAACUGUUAAACUUGAGUGCAGAAGGGGAGAGUGGAAUUCCAUGUGUAGCGGUGAAAUGCGUAGAUAUAUGGAGGAACACCGGUGGCGAAAGCGGCUCUCUGGUCUGUAACUGACGCUGAGGCUCGAAAGCGUGGGGAGCAAACAGG